rnacentral:rRNA from 1 species
GAGUUUGAUCGUGGCUCAGAACGAACGCUGGCGGCAGGCUUAACACAUGCAAGUCGAACGGACGUAGCAAUACGUUAGUGGCGCACGGGUGAGUAACGCGUGGAUAUCUGCCUUUUGGUUCGGGAUAACCUUGGGAAACUAGGGCUAAUACCGAAUGGUUCCUACGGGAUAAAGAUUUAUCGCCAAAAGAUGAGUCCGCGUCCGAUUAGCUAGUUGGCGGGGUAACGGCCCACCAAGGCGACGAUCGGUAGCUGGUCUGAGAGGACGAUCAGCCACACUGGGACUGAGACACGGCCCAGACUCCUACGGGAGGCAGCAGUGGGGAAUAUUGGACAAUGGGGGCAACCCUGAUCCAGCCAUGCCGCGUGAGUGAUGAAGGCCUUCGGUUGUAAGCUCUUUGGUCGGGGACGAUGAUGACGGUACCCGCAGAAUAAGCCCGGCUAACUUCGUGCCAGCAGCCGCCGCGGUAA